CCUACGGGAGGCAGCAGUGGGGAAUAUUGCACAAUGGGCGCAAGCCUGAUGCAGCCAUGCCGCGUGUGUGAAGAAGGCCUUCGGGUUGUAAAGCACUUUCAGCGGGGAGGAAGGCGGUGAGGUUAAUAACCUCAUCGAUUGACGUUACCCGCAGAAGAAGCACCGGCUAACUCCGUGCCAGCAGCCGCGGUAAUACGGAGGGUGCAAGCGUUAAUCGGAAUUACUGGGCGUAAAGCGCACGCAGGCGGUCUGUCAAGUCGGAUGUGAAAUCCCCGGGCUCAACCUGGGAACUGCAUUCGAAACUGGCAGGCUAGAGUCUUGUAGAGGGGGGUAGAAUUCCAGGUGUAGCGGGGAAAUGCGUAGAGAUCUGGAGGAAUACCGGUGGCGAAGGCGGCCCCCUGGACAAAGACUGACGCUCAGGUGCGAAAGCGUGGGGAGCAAACAGGAUUAGAUACCCUUGUAGUC
rnacentral:rRNA from 1 species